CCACCCGCCCCACCUGCCCCGCCGGCCCUCGCCGGCCUGCACCUGGUAGCGCGGCGGCCGAUAGAGCAGCAGCAGCAGCGCGUUGAGCCCCGCCACGUAGAGCGCCAGCCCGGUGCGGCCCUGCAGGCCGGCGCGCGGUCUCACUUUGUACCCCAGGCCAGAGUGUGGCAGCCUGUAACUCCUGGGCCCAAGCGAUCCUCUUCUCUCUCAGCCUCCCAAAGCACUGGAAUUACAGGUCCUGGCAGGAGCUCUGGUAUCUGGGAAGCUGGAUGGAGAGCCUGGAUUGGAGCCCACCCUCUGCAACCUAGCUUUGUGACCUUGGCAAAUCCAUUCUAUGCACCUCUGUUUCCUGUACAGUGGGGACCUGAUUUAUCUGGCAACCUCCACCAGAUUGAUGGAGUUUUGCUCUUGUUGCCCAGGCUGGAGUGCAGUGGCGAAAUCUUGGCUCACCGCAACCCCGGAUUCCCAGGUUCAAGGCAUUCUCUCACCUCAGCCUCCUGAGUAGUUGGGAUUACAGGCAUGCACCACCAUGCCUGGCUAAUUUUGUAUUUUUAGUAGAGAUGGGAUUUCUCCACCUCGAUCAGGCUUGUCUCAAACUCGCGACCUCAGAUGA